UUAUAACUAGACCAGCAAACGAGAGAGAGGGAGUCUCGAAGCAAUCUUGAGAGAGAUGGGUCACAGAAAACCUUACGAACGCUAAGUUAUUAGUGAUCGUGAAGACUGGAAAAGUUUAAAGUCAAAUGUAGUGGAAGCAAUCCAGAGCCUUGAGUGCGGAGGUUUGUCGUCAUUAGAGCUUUCAAGGAUGAGCACGAUGUGAAGCCGCAAGUGUUAAGGAUGGGUAUCGUGUCAUAAGGCAAAGAUCAAUUGGGCAGCAUGAGAGAAUGUGAAAGCAAGUAGAUUCGAAAAGAAGUCCAACCCCUCAUAUAUAAAAGUGCAAUGGAAAGAGUGCAGAGAGCGCCAACAUCAUGGAGGCAAAAGAACUGAGAGUGAUGGUUUCUCCAAGUGCAGUAACGGUCAAGAAGACUUGGCCUGAAGGCCUGAGGAGUCACUCAGAUAGAAGGUGUCGAUCGAGGGAUCAAGUGCGGAAUUCCCCUAGCAACAAGCGCGCCAUUAGAUUGAGUAGGGGAGAAUGUCGGGGAACCCCCAAGUGCUACAACAAGUCUAGAAUGGUGCACACUCGAUAAAAAUAAGUUCACUCACAAUGAUUUUGCCACUAACCACGCUUUUAUUUCACUUGUUUUGCUUUUAGUCACUCAAUUUUUUAAUAUAUUUAACAAGAGUCUAUAUACAUCAUAUCAAACAAUCUAUUCUCUUUUCUCUCAAGAACAAUUUGAAACAACCAAAUUCUUUCUACUUAACCCUCAACAUCCAUGGCCCAACAUCCAUUUCAUAGUGCAUUUUAAGAUCAAGGACAAAGAUGUUAUAGUAUUCUCAAAUACCAAUCAUGAGAUAACUGUAAUUACAUACUUAUUUUACCUUAUUUAUUAAUAUAAAGCGUUGUCAUUAUAAUUUCAAUUUUUUUCUGUGUAUAUAAAUAAACUGAAUUGUAAUAAAUUCCUAAGAAAUAUGAUUAUUGUUAAAAGGUAUUUUGUCUAGUAUUAUUGAAGGUUUGGACAACAAUAAUGCAUUGAGACUAAUGUGUAGUUGAUUGAUGACAAAUUGUUGUCAUUGACAUAAGAAUGUCAAAAUCAAUACAUGAGUAUGUGUUAGAGAACAACAUAUUUGACUGACCUACUAUGGGUAUGUUUCUUGGAUUAUUAUUGUAACCCC
rnacentral:lncRNA from 1 species